AGUGAACGCUGGCGGUAGGCCUAACACAUGCAAGUCGAACGGCAGCACAGGAGAGCUUGCUCUCUGGGUGGCGAGUGGCGGACGGGUGAGGAAUACAUCGGAAUCUACUCUGUCGUGGGGGAUAACGUAGGGAAACUCACGCUAAUACCGCAUACGACCUACGGGUGAAAGCAGGGGACCUUCGGGCCUUGCGCGAUUGAAUGAGCCGAUGUCGGAUUAGCUAGUUGGCGGGGUAAAGGCCCAACAAGGCGACGAUCCGUAGCUGGUCUGAGAGGAUAAUCAGCCACACUGAAACUGAUACACGGUCCAGACUCCUACGGGAGGCAGCAGUGGGGAAUAUUGGACAAUGGGCGCAAGCCUGAUCCAGCCAUACCGCGUGGGUGAAGAAGGCCUUCGUGUUGUAAAGCCCUUUUGUUGGGAAAGAAAUCCAGCUGGCUAAUACCCGGUUGGGAUGACGGUACCCAAAGAAUAAGCACCGGCUAACUUCGUGCCAGCAGCCGCGGUAA
rnacentral:rRNA from 1 species